ensembl:lncRNA
GGACAGUUUCUGCAUGUACCCUGGCGGUCAUGAUUUCGCUAGUUCUGGCUCCUGGGGGCCAUUGGAGGUAGUGAUCAUUUAUUUCAGUGGCUUCACACUGCUCCCAAGUACUCUCUGACCCAGGAAGCAAUCUCUCUACCCAUCUAGUUCCCAGGGCAGGUUGUUACUAUGCCAGGCAUACAUAUCCCAAUUCUGUGGCGGGCCUGGUGUGCCCCACCACCAUACAUUAUCUUGAAUUCAAUUAAACCACCACUGAAAGAACACACCAGACACUAUCCUCUGAUCCAAUUGAUAAGAUAUAAUUUGCCCAUCUAGACAACACAAAAACCUGUACACACCCAUCCCUUAAAAAUGGUCAUAACAACCUGUCACUAUGGGCAGAGAAGAAUCUUAACAUCUGCUGCCAUGUUCUCCCAGCUCCUCUUCCUCACUCUGUCUCUUCUCUCUUACCCCUCCCCUCUAAAACCUCUGUUCCCAACUCCCUUCCUUCUCAUCCAAUGACAGGCCUCAUUUUAUCUGUCUGCCUUCACCUGCAUAAUGACACCGACCUAAAGACAAUGGGCCUGCCUUUGUAUCUCAGAACUGUAGAUCCUCAGAUCUUUGAAGACGGAGGUGUCAGGGAUUCUCUGCAUGGUACAUUUAGCCCUGAGGAAAUUGGACUCACCCCUGACUGAGGAAUUCGGGCAAGCCCAUUUGGAUCAGCGUUUGCAUAAGAUUAAACCCCUUUCUGGAGUUUGUGUUUAGAGAGACUAUCUCAACCCCAUUGCCGGGGACAGGCAAUGCCAGAAUGUGUUUAGGUGUGUACAAUGCAACCUAAGAAGAACAGUGAACGUUAAAGGGAUUCGUGGUAAGAACAGAAGCACGAACAGUUCUGGAGACCGUGUUCUCCAGAGACUGCCUCACGUAGAACUGAGAGCUAGAGACCGUGGAGUCUCCCCAGAGGUCUUUAGUGAGGAUGAGCACACAGAAAAGACCACCCAGGUUCUCUCCUGUACUUCUGAGGGGCCAGACUGUGGACAUCAAGUGGAAAUUAUGGAGAAGGGAACUUCUGAUCGAUAU